rnacentral:rRNA from 1 species
AUGUUAAAAGAGUCUGAGUGGGGACACUCUAUUUGGAAAGGGAUUUUGUACAGUUUUUCUGCAAGUUACUACCUCAUUAGUGGACUGGCCUACAUAGUAUUCAUAAAAAUUAAUCAUCCAAUUCCCUGUAUGUGUCCUUGGUCACAUUUUUUGUCUGUUCAAUUUUUGGAAACCCACAUCUUAUUUGAAUUGAAACUGCUGACUGCUUUGACUGAUCCUGACCGAGUCCACACACCAUCACUUACAGAAUACUGGAAGCCACUUGCAGAAGAUGUAAACUUGCAGAUGGACACAUCUGCCAGAGAGACGGCGGCCAUGAGAGCCGGAAGAUCACAAGAGAUCGACCUUUUGGGUAGUCUAAUACUUCCUAUAUGGGCACAUAGAAAAGCCACUACGUAA